CGGAGCACGCCGCGUGAGUGAUGAAGGUCUUCGGAUCGUAAAACUCUGUUAUUAGGGAAGAACAUACGUGUAAGUAACUGUGCACGUCUUGACGGUACCUAAUCAGAAAGCCACGGCUAACUACGUGCCAGCAGCCGCGGUAAUACGUAGGUGGCAAGCGUUAUCCGGAAUUAUUGGGCGUAAAGCGCGCGUAGGCGGUUUUUUAAGUCUGAUGUGAAAGCCCACGGCUCAACCGUGGAGGGUCAUUGGAAACUGGAAAACUUGAGUGCAGAAGAGGAAAGUGGAAUUCCAUGUGUAGCGGUGAAAUGCGCAGAGAUAUGGAGGAACACCAGUGGCGAAGGCGACUUUCUGGUCUGUAACUGACGCUGAUGUGCGAAAGCGUGGGGAUCAAACAGGAUUAGAUACCCUGGUAGUCCACGCCGUAAACGAUGAGUGCUAAGUGUUAGGGGGUUUCCGCCCCUUAGUGCUGCAGCUAACGCAUUAAGCACUCCGCCUGGGGAGUACGACCGCAAGGUUGAAACUCAAAUGAAAUUGACGGA
rnacentral:rRNA from 1 species